rnacentral:rRNA from 1 species
AUUGAACGCUGGCGGCAGGCCUAACACAUGCAAGUCGAGCGGAGCGGCGGACGGGUGAGUGAAGACUAGGAAUCUGCCUGGUAGUGGGGGACAACGUCAGGAAACGGGCGCUAAUACCGCAUACUAUCAGAUGAGCCUAGGUCGGAUUACCGAGAGGGUGGGGUAAAGGCCUACCAAGGCGACGAUCCGUAACUGGUCUGAGAGGAUGAUCAGUCACACUGGAACUGAGACACGGUCCAGACUCCUACGGGAGGCAGCAGUGGGGAAUAUUGGACAAUGGGCGAAAGCCUGAUCCAGCCAUGCCGCGUGUGUGAAGAAGGUCUUCGGAUUGUAAAGCACUUUAAGUUGGGAGGCGUUACCAACAGAAUAAGCACCGGCUAACUUCGUGCCAGCAGCCGCGGUAAUUC